CAGAACAGCCAGGGAAGGUGAUAGGACCCCCUUCCAUGUGAUCAUUGAAGGAGUUACACAGUGACAGCCUACACCACAAAAGUGAAAUUAAUCCCUGGAGGCCCAGCCUCAGCUGAACCUUAUUCAGUGUUUGUUGGCUGCUGCAGAAGUGCACAACACGCUGCUCAUGCUCCUGAUGUGCAGUGUCCCAGUCCUCCUCUGCUUGGGCAUGCCCAGCUCCUGGACAAAACCUGGCUGGAACAGAGGGCAGGCAGAGCCAAGAGCCCAAGAAGGUGUUUGCACAUGGGGAACUGCUGAAAGCUCCGGCUCCACCCAAGUUGCCUUAAGCUCAGUCUCUGCUUCAACACAAUAUUUUUUCCUUGACAGCUUGAGAAAAAUAACUUCUGUUAUUCUGAAGACUAUAGAAAAUAAAAGCCAACAAAAAUGAAA